AAAUGCAGGCUUUGUGUAAAAAGCACGGCCUCUCUGCCAAUUUAACCAACCGUGAAAUGGCGGAUCGUUUGGCUUCCAUAUUUAAGGAAAGUGAAGAUCCUGUUUCGUCAGCAGAGUUGAUCUCUAAUCCAGAAGAAAUAUUGAGUGAAGAUAAAGCUAAUGCUGUCAAAAAGCAGAUAAAGAAAGUCAGGUUUAGUCCUGACAAUCAAACCAUUGAGUAUGAGGUUUCUGUCUAUAGGCCCUAGAAGAAGGUCUAGGAGGCAAACAUUGUCCAAUAUCCUGCCCAGGUGCUUGAAAAUACUGUAAGUGAAGAAAUUAAAAAGUUUGAAGGCUGCCAAGCAAGAGUCACAAGGUCCAGAAUGCAAACUGCAGUUGAAGAAGAAAUACACAUGGCUUCUUCGCCUCCUGCUGGGCGAAAGAGGGAGAGAGGGGGCAAGAAGGUUAAAGAUGCCAAGGUGUGGCUAAUAUGGGUGAUUCGGAGGGUUUAGAAUUGGGUCAGAAAGAUAUCAAGAAUGGUCAUUAUAAGGUUACUGGUGGGUUUAGUGGGAGACAGUUAAGAAGUAGGAAGAAUGUGUCUCGGGAAGAUUCAAAGAAGAUAAUGAACGACAAAGGAAGUGACGAGGUUCAUCUGUUGGAUGAAGUUCAGAAGGCAAUAAUGGCCGAAAGCAAUCAACGAGGAAUGCUAGAAACGAGAUCCGGGUGUGGCAUUCAACAGUGACGUGGAAAAGGUUGAAGUUGUUUCUAGGGUGACACGGCAGUCUAGGGCACAAUCCAAAGAUGAAAUUUCUAUGGUUAAAAAUGAAGUUAAAAUAGUUGAGGUAAAGGAUGGAAAUGAAACAGAGAAGUCCCUGAGACGAACAAAACGCAAUUCAGAAAAAGAUAGUGAUGGAAGUGUUGCUUCUGUGAAAAUUGAUGCUCAGGUAACAAAGGUUCAAGAAAAUCUGAAAGACAUGUUGCACUCGUGGAACCGCCAGAAUGUUUGAGACAUUCUUCCAGGCAAAAUUCUGGUGUAUUUCAGAGUGGCAAGGGGGAAAUAAGGGAGAAUUUCCAAAAGAUGAGACCAGAAAACGAAGUAGGACUGCUGAAUUGGAAGCUAUUCUGGAAGAUGUAGUGACGUUGAGAGGGACAAGUAUGCGGUUACUUCACAACAGCAAGUUCCCUUGAGGAGGAGCAGGCGCAAGACUCUGAUUAUUACUGCUCCAGCUGUCAAGUUGGCAAAUAAGGAAGAUAUUGGUGAAAUGGAGCACUUAAUAGCACCAUUUCUAGGGAAAGGCACGACCGAAGAAUUGGAUGCUAUUGUGGAAGAUGGAGAGGUUAAUAGGGCCAAGUAUGCCGUGACUUCACAACACCAAGCCCCCUGGAGGAAGGGCAGGCGCAAGACCGGAUUCUUACUGCUCCAGCUGCUGAGUUGACAAAUAAGGAAGAUCAAAUUGCUGUUGCCGAAAGUGAUCAGGGAGUUAAGCAGCAAGUGCAAGAGCCUAUUUUGGAAGAAGAAGAAACUUCUGCUCGUGAACAUCAUCCAAUGAAACAGAAACCCCAAAGAAGAUCCAGACAUAUUACUUCUAAAAGUGCCUAUGUGCACCUUCUAACUCAACAGCCAAAGGCGUCAAGAAGAACGACAAAGCAAGUCUAGAAUGGAGAUUGUAGAAGAGGAAGCUGCACCUAAUGAGUCUUCCAUCUCCUGAAGAAUUACCAGCUGGAAAGGAUGUGCAAUUUGUUGUCAGAAUGUGCAGGAGAUAAAAAUAAUCUUGAUUUGGACUUUAGCAAACAGGUUGUCAACAGUGGUGAUGCAUGCUCUAA